rnacentral:rRNA from 1 species
CCUGGAAACAGAUGCUAAUACCGGAUAACAACAGAUGAUGCCUAUCAACUGUUUAAAAGAUGGUUCUGCUAUCACUCUUGGAUGGACCUGCGGUGCAUUAGCUAGUUGGUAGGGUAACGGCCUACCAAGGCGAUGAUGCAUAGCCGAGUUGAGAGACUGAUCGGCCACAUUGGGACUGAGACACGGCCCAAACUCCUACGGGAGGCAGCAGUC